UUUCGCGGCUCCAUCAAUGCUGCAUCGUAAAUAUGAUGUAAACAGAAGUAAAUUGCUCAAUUACUCAAAAUAAAGAUGAUUUGUCAUCUUGUUAUCACAUUGAAGACCAUCUAGCACCAUUUUAUAGUAUGGUGCGUGUUGAGUAAAGUAAGUUCCGUUGCGUUUUCCGUCGAAAAUUGUGAGUAUCAAUAUGUUUGCUUAGAAAAGGCCAAAAUGAACAUUUAUUGAAUAUUGGCGUCCUAUACAACCAAUUCUCCAUUACCACCAGCAUGAUACAACCUUUCCUAAGUAAAUUAACUUAAUUUCCACUUUCAUCUUAGUGUAAAUCGCACAUAUUCAUCAUUUUCCGAAAAAUGCAGCUGCGCAGGAGGUAACCUCUCGCUGUGGGUGCAAACUUGUUAUGCAUUAUUUUCCAUGAAAACCUCUCCGAUCCAUACCGAAAUAAUAACAAUUAGUUUUCAAACACGUUUUCUUACACGAUUCAAGCAAAAGUUUCCACGGGAAAUUAUUCGUUUUUCUUUAUGGACCGGUUUGCCCCAAAAAUCGUCUGUUUUACUUGGAAAAUUUGGAAACUAUCCUCCUUCUAGUAGUUCUCACUUCGAAAUGUAGGAGGCGAAAGCUUGGAAAAGUUUCGCUGCAAGACGCCAAUAAGCCCCAUUAUCAGCACUUUCCCCAGCUAAUUUACCAACCAGACCGUGUUCAAACUCGCACACGCGUAACAUCCGAACACGGUGAACCGGCCUCCCGGUAGGCAAUGAAAAUCGCAAGCAAACUUACACACCGCUGGUUACAAAAAAACACACCCGUGCAAAGAAACGGAUCCAAUAAACGUUACUCUCGCGAAAGCAAACCCGUCGUCUUUGAACGGCGAAAAAAAAGGAACUCGGUGAGCAAUUUUGUGAUACGGAAUUUCCACUGAAAAUCAACCGGGAAUGCACGAAUUUCACAGAACCAACAUCAACACCGACCGUGCCGAGCUCUUUCACGCACCUUGCCACCCCAAAGCAUGUCUGAUUGAGCCCAAAUUUUGCAUAGGGUCUGUUGUCGAGGCAAUGAAGAUUUUUCGAGCUGUGUUGGCAAAAUCAGAAAUCAAUUGAUAUUUUUCCGUUCGCCAGAAAAUGGCCUUACAAGGUUUGUUUACAAAAUGGAGUUAAGGCCAUUUCAAUUGUUGAUCUUGAUAUGUCCAAAACGUAAACAAAUCGGGUUUUGAUACCAUUCUUUAGCACCGCUUGAUAGGUACUAAUCGUAUAGGAGUGUUUCGCAUAAUCGAGAAAAAUCAUUAAAAAUAACUCGAUAUUCGAAACGGCCGAUCAACGAAAUUUUUCAAUUCAUUAAUAGGCCCGCACGCUAAAACGGCCAACCAUUCAUUUAUUUCAUUUAAUUGAUAAGCCUAGUGACGUAGAAGGGCCGAUGAUUGAAAAAUUUCAAACCAAAGCUAGGCCCUACUGCUUGAGGCAGGGCCGAUGAUUUGUUUUGAAUUUAUUUGACGUUGCGAAAAUGCUUAGAGUACCAUUUGUGAUGACAAGCACAAUGGCUUAACAAAAAGGGCCUAUCCAUUGAAAGGAUCACAAAUAGGCUUAUUAAGUUAUGGUAUUAAAUUGUCAUCGAUUUUCAUAUAUAUUUUGAAAGCUUUUCGCAUAUUUUGGAUGUUGUAUACUGAGAUACAGUUACUAUUGUUAUUGUGAACAAUAUAAAUGCCUAAAAUACUUCAGUUUUCUUAAAUAUGAAUUGAAUAGUGGCGGAAAAAUUUAAAAUUCAUUUUCUGGUUUGUUUACGUUUUGGCCGUAGGCAAAUUUCAAAUGUUACAGGAAUUCAAGCCGCGCUAACGCAAACCAUCAUUACCAUCGAAUACGGGAAUACUUUCCUUAUCUGAUGGUGAUAUUUAUUUGCUUGGGCGAGCCUUGAGUUUCUAGAAAUCAUCGAGAGAAGUCAUUGUUUACAAAAGCUGUUACGCCCUAAUUCCAGCUCUAUCUAGAUUUGGUAAAUAUUCGG